UGAGGAAUAUUGCGCAAUGGGGGAAACCCUGACGCAGCGACGCCGCGUGGGUGAUGAAGGCCUUCGGGUUGUAAAGCCCUGUUGGAGGGGAAGAAAGGGCGUGUAGCUAAUAUCUGCACGCAUUGACGGUACCCUCAGAGGAAGCACCGGCUAACUCCGUGCCAGCAGCCGCGGUAAUACGGAGGGUGCGAGUGUUAUUCGGAUUUACUGGGCGUAAAGAGCACGUAGGCGGAUAGGCAAGUCAGAUGUGAAAGCCCGGAGCUUAACUCCGGAACUGCAUUUGAUACUGCUUGUCUUGAGUGUGGUAGAGGGGGGUGGAAUUCCCGGUGUAGAGGUGAAAUUCGUAGAUAUCGGGAGGAACACCAGAGGCGAAGGCGACCCCCUGGGCCAUAACUGACGCUGAGGUGCGAAAGCGUGGGGAGCAAACA
rnacentral:rRNA from 1 species